AUACUUUUAAAUAAUAUGUAUCUUAGAUAUUGGAUACAAGAUACUUUCCAAAAUUUUAAAAAAGAUACAAGUAUCCGCGAUACUGCCCAACCCUGAGAAGCGCUAUAUAUCACGUAUCACUAGAGGUGGCCAAAUCAGUUUGGAGAAAUCUAAGAGAUUGCUUUAUGAGGGAACAUAAAAACUAUAGAGCCACGGAUUCAGUGUACCAAUUUGGAAAAAAACAAAUCCUGUUAUAGCUAAAAUUGAUGAAGCAAAUAUUGCUAGCAAUGUAUGAGCAAAGGAGUGGUAAUGAAAAUUAUCAAUAGAUGCUAUUGAAAUCCCCUGCAUAGAGACAAGUAGUGAAGCUACAAUUUUAAGGAAAGAUUGUAAUCAUAUUUUAUAUAAAUAAUAUUAUAUAUAUUUAGCAUCACCAUCAACUAGUAUAGGAUCAAAUUUAUCUUGCAAAAAAUUAAUUAAA